GUUAUACUUGUCUAUGAUUGCAUCAUAUUUCUGUAAGACAGAAGAUAAUAUAACAGAUAAACUAUAUUCCAGGGAACAAAAUACACAGUUUAUUCUGGAGCACCGCCCAGAGCAAGACAAUGGAGAGUUGUUUUGCACCGGGUUUAUGUUGAUCGAGCCUACUUGACGAAUUAAAAUUAAUGUUAUUUCCAAGCCGUGGCCGAGAUU